GACGAACGCUGGCGGCGUGCUUAACACAUGCAAGUCGUACGGUAAGGCCCUUUCGGGGGUACACGAGUGGCGAACGGGUGAGUAACACGUGAGUAACCUGCCCACAACUUUGGGAUAACGCUAGGAAACUGGUGCUAAUACUGGAUAUGUGCUCCUGCUGCAUGGUGGGGGUUGGAAAGCUCCGGCGGUUGUGGAUGGACUCGCGGCCUAUCAGCUUGUUGGUGGGGUAGUGGCCUACCAAGGCGGCGACGGGUAGCCGGCCUGAGAGGGUGACCGGCCACAUUGGGACUGAGAUACGGCCCAGACUCCUACGGGAGGCAGCAGUGGGGAAUAUUGCACAAGGGGCGCAAGCCUGAUGCAGCAACGCCGCGGGCGGGAUGACGGCCUUAGGGUUGUAAACCGCUUUCAGCAGGGACGAAGCUUUUUGUGACGGUACCUGCAGAAGAAGCACCGGCUAACUACGUG
rnacentral:rRNA from 1 species